UGCAGUCCACGUGAAGGGGAGCAAUCCCCCGGUAGGGUGGCAAACGGGUGAGUAAGACAUGGGUGAUCUACCUUAGGGAUGGGGAUAUCCUUCCGAAAGGAGGGGCAAUACCGAAUAUUGUCCGGGACCAUGAAGGGUUCCGGGGAAAGGGAGGCCUCUGAUACAAGCUUUCGCCUUAAGAUGAGCCCAUGGCCCAUCAGCUAGUUGGUAGGGUAAAGGCCUACCAAGGCUACGACGGGUCGCUGGUCUGAGAGGACGACCAGCACACUGGCACUGAGAUACGGGCCAGACUCCUACGGGAGGCAGCAGUGAGGAAUAUUGCGCAAUGGGGGAAACCCUGACGCAGCAACGCCGCGUGGGUGAAGAAGGUUUUCGGAUUGUAAAGCCCUUUUGGCGGGGACGAUGAUGACGGUACCCGCAGAAUAAGCCACGGCUAACUCUGUGCCAGCAGCCGCGGUAAGACAGAGGUGGCAAGCGUUGUUCGGAAUUACUGGGCGUAAAGAGUCUGUAGGUGGUUUGUCAAGUCUUUGGUGAAAGGCCGUAGCUUAACUAUGGGAAUGCCAAAGAGACUGGCACGCUGGAGCUGGGAGAGGGAAGCGGAAUUUCUGGUGUAGCGGUGAAAUGCGUAGAUAUCA
rnacentral:rRNA from 1 species